rnacentral:rRNA from 1 species
GAUGAACGCUGGCGGCGUGCCUAAUACAUGCAAGUCGAGCGAACGGACGAGAAGCUUGCUUCUCUGAUGUUAGCGGCGGACGGGUGAGUAACACGUGGAUAACCUACCUAUAAGACUGGGAUAACUUCGGGAAACCGGAGCUAAUACCGGAUGAUAUUUUGAACCGCAUGGUUCAAAAGUGAAAGACGGUCUUGCUGUCACUUAUAGAUGGAUUCGCGCUGCAUUAGCUAGUUGGUAAGGUAACGGCUUACCAAGGCAACGAUGCAUAGCCGACCUGAGAGGGUGAUCGGCCACACUGGAACUGAGACACGGUCCAGACUCCUACGGGAGGCAGCAGUAGGGAAUCUUCCGCAAUGGGCGAAAGCCUGACGGAGCAACGCCGCGUGAGUGAUGAAGGUCUUCGGAUCGUAAAACUCUGUUAUUAGGGAAGAACAUAUGUGUAAGUAACUGUGCACAUCUUGACGGUACCUAAUCAGAAAGCCACGGCUAACUACGUG